CCUACGGGAGGCAGCAGUAGGGAAUAUUGCUCAAUGGGGGAAACCCUGAAGCAGCAACGCCGCGUGGAGGAUGAAGGUUUUCGGAUUGUAAACUCCUUUCGUUAGAGAAGAUAAUGACGGUAUCUAACGAAUAAGCACUGGCUAACUCCGUGCCAGCAGCCGCGGUAAUACGGAGGGUGCAAGCGUUACUCGGAAUCACUGGGCGUAAGGAGCGCGUAGGCGGGAUAGCAAGUCAGAUGUGAAAUCCUAUGGCUUAACCAUAGAACUGCAUUUGAAACUGCUAAUCUAGAGUAUGGGAGAGGUAGGUGGAAUUCUUGGUGUAGGGGUAAAAUCCGUAGAGAUCAAGAGGAAUACUCAUGGCGAAGGCGACCUGCUAGAACAUAACUGACGCUGAUGCGCGAAAGCGUGGGGAGCAAACAGGAUUAGAUACCCCAGUAGUC
rnacentral:rRNA from 1 species